AUUCCAGCUCCAAUAGCGUAUACUAAAGUUGUUGCAGUUAAAAAGCUCGUAGUUGAAUUUCUGGUCGUGGCAAUCGGUCAGCCCCUCACGGGGUUCGUACCAGGUUGCUGCGUCCAUCCUCGGGGAGAGCACAUCGGGCAUUCAGUUGUCUGGUGUGGGAUCCUCGUCAUUUACUGUGAGCAAAAUAGAGUGUUCAAAGCAGGCUUAGGCCGUUGAAUACAUUAGCAUGGAAUAAUAAGAUAGGACCUUGGUCUAUUUUGUUGGUUUGCGUUCCAAGGUAAUGAUUAAUAGGGAUAGUUGGGGGUAUUCGUAUUCAAUUGUCAGAGGUGAAAUUCUUGGAUUUAUGGAAGACGAACUACUGCGAAAGCAUUUACCAAGGAUGUUUUCAUCA
rnacentral:rRNA from 1 species